ACGUGGUUUCCCCAUGUUGGCCAGGAUGGUCUUGAUCUCCUGACCUUGUGAUUAACUUGUCUCAGCCUCCCAAAGUGCUGGGAUUACAGGUGUGAGCCAACACACCCAGCCUUGAGUUUAUGUUUUUAUUUGGUGCAAGGUGGUCUAUCUGGAAUAUUGUGGCAUGUGUGAUUAAAAGUAUUGCAUAUUCUGCUGUUGAGUGGAGAGAUAUAAAUCCUCCACAGCCUAUAAUUUCAAAUGACUUCUUAUCAAGCUUGCUGGAUUUUUUCCUGCUAGAUCAAACCUGUUGCUGGACCUUCUAAUGAAUCUCUAAAUUCAGGCACUUUUUACAAAGAUGCAUUCAGAUUGAUGAGGAGCUGUUUGAUGUGGCCAACUCCUCCCUCUCUUUGGAAAAAGAUCAGGUGCACUAAACCAACAACCACAGCCAGCACCGGGCUGUGCUGAGAGAAGCCACAUAGGAGUCUCUACAGACAGAAACCCGAGAAGACCGGGACAGACCCAGGACCCAGACUCAAAUAUGAAAAAUUUCUGGGCUUUGUCCUACGGCCUUCCCAUGAGUAACUCAUAGUCUUGUUUCAGUGGAAUCUGGCCUUCAUCAGUCUCAGUGGCAAUUGGUUAUGUGGAAAGUUUCUGUUCACACCCUUGUGUGAAUAGCAGUAAAGACUUUUGUGUUGUUUUCAUUUUACAUUAGGCCAUGAGUAUUUACGCCUGUGGCUGCAGUUUGUAUUAGUUUCCUGCCCCAGGUAUCUCCUGCAGAAUGCAGCUUCAGUCCUACCAGACCCUCAAAACUUAAAAGCUAACAGUAUUACUAGGGAGGAUUUCGCAGGAAAAUGGAGAAAGUGUUACACACAACAAAGGUUAAACUACUCUAUGCAUGUUUCUGCAAUGUAUUAUCUCAAGAACUCAUCUCUGUAGCCC